rnacentral:lncRNA from 1 species
AAAGAGUGCUGUAAGGUGAGAGCCAUCCCUACCUGACUGGAGUCGGAGAUGCAGUUGCUGUUGCUGCUGAUCUGUGCCGGAGCCUCAUAGGGUGGGGAAGAAGCUUGAAAACUUAAUUCAAGGACCAAGUAGCAAACACAAAGAGCACAUGGUAACCUAUAACAUCACCACCUGACCAGUAAGGCUGUUCCAUGAUCUGGUGGGACCAGACUCAAACUUUCUGAACGCUUGCAGACAACCCUGCCCUGCCCCAUUCUGACACAGUGAGUGGUGCUUCCCUCAGGAGCUGGAAAAGCAGACGCCGCUGUGCCGAGGUGCUGUGGAAUCAAAACCAAAAUGACUGAACGAAGUUCCUUUGUAAAGACUGGGAUUGCAGAAUACCCAAAUUUCACACUUUGUCCAUGAAAUGUGGGCUCUGACAGGGCCCCGGAACAAGUAACACAAGGAUUACGUGGGUCCAAGUUGUAGAGGUGAAAAUGGUAC